AUACCACUUUAAAAAAAAAAUCAGAUGUCAAUCUAAACCAACUAAGUAAUUCAUCUUCUUUUCUACUUCAAAAUUAAUAAAAUUAACAUGUUAUUAUUUGAUUGGUACACGAUUAAUCCGCUUGAAUAUUACAUUAAAAACCUUCUCCUCAUAAGUGGGAUAAACAGGAUUUCAACACCAACUGUCCCUAGCGCAAGUGGCAAAAAGUCUUGGUGAUUGAUACCCGAGACCCAAGUUCGAAUCCUAGUUGAUUCACAUUUUCAGCUAAGUUUAUUUCUAAGUGAAAUAAACGAAGCGGAUAGCAUGCUUUCUUUCUCUCUCGGAAAAAUAAAAGAAAAGAUUUUGA
rnacentral:lncRNA from 1 species